UACGUAGGGGGCAAGCGUUGUCCGGAAUCAUUGGGCGUAAAGAGCGUGUAGGCGGCCCGGUAAGUCCGCUGUGAAAGUCCAGGGCUCAACCCUGGGAUGCCGGUGGAUACUGUCGGGCUCGAGUCCGGAAGAGGAGUGUGGAAUUCCUGGUGUAGCGGUGAAAUGCGCAGAUAUCGAGGAGACACCAAUGGCGAAGGCAGCACUCUGGGACGUGACUGACGCUGAGACGCGAAAGCGUGGGGAGCAAACAGG
rnacentral:rRNA from 1 species